GAAACUGAAUGACGAAUGAAACUAUUGUUCCUGUUUCACACAGAAGAAAACUGAGGUUAAAAGGGGUAAAGUAAUUUUGCAUGGCAUGAAGUAGAAAUUCAAAGUACAGGAAUUUGAACUUGGUUCUGUCCUUUUCUGAAGCCCUUGACCACUAUAGACUCAAACAUCACCUUGUUUUUCCACUCAUUCAACACUUUUUUUUUUAAAUUAUCUAAUAGGUUGGCACUCAUCAUGAGCCCCUGUUCUCAUUCUGCAAAUGGUGAAGCUCUCUAUUGUCCUGACCCCACAGUUCCUGUCCCAUGACCAGGGCCAGCUCACCAAGGAGCUGCAGCAGCAUGUAAAGUCAGUGACAUGCCCAUGCGAGUACCUGAGGAAGUGACCUUGAGGAACCCUGGGAGCUCAGGAAGGAAGGAGCGCCCAGAAGCAGGGACAGGGAGCUGGUUGGGGAGGACCAGAAAUCAGGUUAUCAAUACUCUGGCUGACCAUCAUCAUCGUGGGACUGACUUUGGUGGAAGUCCUUGGUUACAUGUCAUUAUUGCGUUU
rnacentral:lncRNA from 1 species